rnacentral:lncRNA from 1 species
GUUCCAAUUGAGUGGAGGUCAUGGAAUAUUCGUCAAACCCCAUCACCCGUCAUAUGAUAAAUUUGAUAAGACAGAAGCUCUUAUGGUUACUCUUGGAAACCUCUUUCCAUACACCAUAUUACCCCGGCCGAGGAUUUUUGAGCUUUGCCUUACAAAUAGCAUAGAACUAAUUAUCUCUCUACCGAGAGCGAUAGAUCCCCUAUAAAC